GAUGAACGCUGGCGGCGUGCUUAACACAUGCAAGUCGAACGGUGAAGGCGGAGCUUGCUCUGCUGGAUCAGUGGCGAACGGGUGAGUAACACGUGAGCAAUCUGCCCCUGACUCUGGGAUAAGCGCUGGAAACGGCGUCUAAUACUGGAUACGAGCUGCGAAGGCAUCUUCAGCAGCUGGAAAGAAUUUCGGUCAGGGAUGAGCUCGCGGCCUAUCAGCUUGUUGGUGAGGUAAUGGCUCACCAAGGCGUCGACGGGUAGCCGGCCUGAGAGGGUGACCGGCCACACUGGGACUGAGACACGGCCCAGACUCCUACGGGAGGCAGCAGUGGGGAAUAUUGCACAAUGGGCGAAAGCCUGUUGCAGCAACGCCGCGUGAGGGACGACGGCCUUCGGGUUGUAAACCUCUUUUAGCAGGGAAGAAGCGAAAGUGACGGUACCUGCAGAAAAAGCGCCGGCUAACUACGU
rnacentral:rRNA from 1 species